rnacentral:rRNA from 1 species
GAUGAACGCUAGCGGGAGGCCUAACACAUGCAAGCCGAGCGGCAGAGAAUCAUCGGCAUCCUGAGAGCGGUGUACGGGUGCGGAACACGUGUGCAACCUGCCUUUAUUAGGGGGAUAGGCUUUCGAACGGAAGAUUAAUACCCCAUAAAAUACUUGAUGGCAUCAUUAGAUAUCGAAAGAUUUUGCGGCUAGAGAUGGGCACGCGCAAGAUUAGAUAGUUGGUGAGGUAACGGCUCACCAAGCCGAUGAUCUUUAGGGGGGCUGAGAGUGUGAUCCCCCACACUGGUACCAAGACACGGACCAGACUCCUACGGGAGGCAGCAGUGAGUAAUACUAGACGAUGAAUUAGCGCCUGAUCCAGCCAUCCCGCUUGAAGGACGACUGCCCUAUGGGUUGUAAACUUCUUUUGUACAAGGAUAAACCUACUCUCGUGAGAGUAGCUGAAGGUACUGUACGAAUAAGCACCGGCUAACUCCGUG